UAGGGAAUUUUGCGCAAUGGGCGAAAGCCUGACGCAGCAACGCCAUGUGUGGGAUGAAGCAUUUCGGUGUGUAAACCACUGUCAGCAGGGAAUAACAACCGCUUUGGCGGCCAUGAAUGUACCUGCAGAGGAAGCCCCGGCAAACUUCGUGCCAGCAGCCGCGGUAAUACGAGGGGGGCAAAUGUUGUUCGGAAUCACUGGGCGUAAAGGGAGCGUAGGUGGGUGCUUAAGUUGGGAGUUUAAUUCCGGGGCCCAACCCCGGGCGGGCUUCCAAAACUGGGCGUCUUGAAUGGGACAGAGGCUGAUGGAAUUGGGGGUGUAGCGGUGGAAUGCGUAGAGAUCCCCAAGAACACCAGUUGCGAAGGCGGUCAGCUGGGUCCACAUUGACACUGAGGCUCGA
rnacentral:rRNA from 1 species